CCGCUGGGGAGGGAGACUUGGGAAAAGCACCCGAGGCUGGGUGGGUGCAGCUGAGCUCUUCCAGCUGAGUGCGAUCCAGGCCUUCCUGUUACGUGUCACCGCGCAGUUGGGGUGCAGGGGCAGCGCUCCAGGGCCCACGUGCUGGCAUGGGUUCCCUGGAGCCCAGAACUGCGCUGCUCACAGAACUCGCGUCCCCCUUGCCACAUGGGCUUGGUCACAGAAGGGACAAACACCCUCAAGGUCCUAUGCCAGGCCUGAGGUCAGGGGCCCUGCAAAAGAGGAUUUCCUGAAGAGGAGGGUCCACACACACAGGUAGCCAGGAGAGACUGGAGCUGCUCUGCUGCAGUGCAUUUCCUACUCAGCUUUUCCUGGCUGCUGUCAGAGUUUGACUUCUCCACCAGUGGAGGCCGUGGUUUGGGGCUGCCAGAGAACUUCAGCUUCCUGGUGUGGACUAGAAAUGCCAGACCCCUGGAAACAAAUAAAUGGGAAGAAGAAAAUGCGAGGAGCAAGAAAUGGAUUUGAAGAGUCAGUGUGACCUCAAGUUUAUAUUGCUGGUAACAGAGAAGUGUAAGGCAGUGACAGCUGAUGUUCGGAGGGGUGAAUUUGCUUUCUUGAGGUGACACAGCCAGGAAUGAGGAAUAAGAGAGCAUGGCAACACUGUCUGUCCCAGGCCUGUGGUCUUACCACCAGGACAAGCGACUUUGCAAAAGUAUUGGUCCCAGUGAUAAAAAGCCAACUAAUACACACAGAAACCUACACUUUGCAUGAAUCUUGGGAAAGCAUGAUACCUAAGAAUGGAACAUGUGCCUGCUUCGUGAGCUCCAGCCACCAGAUAUCCUCAGUUUCUGCUCUUGAAAUCUGCACACUGGUCUUUCUGUCCAAGGGAACUUUCCUGGGAGCUGGGUCACACAUAGGGCAGAAUGUGCUCUCUGGGCGUCUCUCAGGAAUGCAAUAGUGUGUCCCUAACUCUCUCCCUGUCCAUGGAGGUGAGUUGGUAAGAUGGACUGAUGGAUUCUAUGAGCAGUGUCUGCACCCCAGCCCUAUACUGAUUGUGCUAGACAGAGCUGUUUAAAUACCACCAGACAGAAUAUUACUUAAAUUAAAAUGAGGCCUUAAAUGUCAUUAUUUGUGUCAUUAUUAAUAGCCCCUAAUUGUGUUCUCUAAUCAUCAUGAAAUUAUGUUAGUAUUAAUAUUCACGUCAAAGCUGCCUAGGGAACUUGAAAGAUUUAAAAAAAUUAUACCAUAUGUCAGUUCCCAUGAACGUGAAGCAAAUUCUGGUUUUAGUGCUUAAGCUCAGGCUGGAGAUGAGACAGUGGGCUGCAAGUGAGACUGGACUAGCCCUCCCCUCCUCCUCCCCAAGUGACUUGCUCCUGGUGGCUUCUACCUGGCAAGGUCCUGCAAGGCAUCAGGAGGACCAGUUUCCCUGGAGUACCCUGCAGGUCUCAGUUAGUUACUCCCACUGGCAAGGGGAAUGGAGAAUGUUUGCGCUCUUCUCUCCUCUCACACCAACAGUUUCCUUUGUCUAGACACCAAAAUUAAACCUGUGCUAUCAUCCUGUUCUGCCUGUCCUCAGUCUCCAUCUAUUCAUAGGCCCCACCUCAGUGCAUUUUGAAAUCUGUCCAUACGGCUUGGAGAAGUGACAAGAAAGAAAGAAAGUUGAGUGUCCUCAAGAAAUGCACUGCAUAAUAUAAUGUAGAAUUUUCAGACAAUGUAGAGUCAAAAUUUAAAAGUAUGUCCAUACAGGGCAUCCAUAAAAUCUGGAAACAGGUGAAGCUAUC